rnacentral:rRNA from 1 species
AUUGAACGCUGGCGGCAUGCCUAACACAUGCAAGUCGAACGGCAGCAUGGUCAAGCUUGCUUGACUGAUGGCGAGUGGCGAACGGGUGAGUAACGCGUAGGAAUAUACCCUAAAGAGUGGGACAACUUGGGGAAACUCAAGCUAAUACCGCAUAAACUCUGAGGAGCAAAGCUGGGGACCGUAAGGCCUGGCGCUUUAGGAAUAGCCUGCGUCCGAUUAGCUAGUUGGUGGGGUAAAGGCCUACCAAGGCGACGAUCGGUAGCUGGUCUGAGAGGAUGGACAGCCACACUGGGACUGAGACACGGCCCAGACUCCUACGGGUGGCAG